rnacentral:misc_RNA from 1 species
GUUUAAUAAAGGCUUUCUCAAUGGACAAAAAAUAGGCUCUUAGCAGGGGCGAGACAGAUAUUCUUAGAUCGGACUUUGCCGGGUAAAUGAAAGAGUUUACCGGAUGUGCCUGUAAACAGUUAAAACUCCAUAUAUGAUAACAAUUCAGAUAGAGGCACGCAUAUGAUAAAAGAACUUGCCAAAAGAAUGGAUUAGCAGUGAAAGCUGCUAAGGAU